GGUAACUCGCGGCGAGCAGCAGAGGAAAGACGGAGGGUGCAAGAGUUAAGCGGAAUAACUGGGCGUAAAGCGCACGCAGGCGGUUAGAUAAGUCAGAGGUGAAAGCCCCGGGCUCAACCUGGGAACUGCAUUUGAAACUGUCUGACUAGAGUCUUGUAGAGGGGGGUAGAAUUCCAGGUGUAGCGGUGAAAUGCGUAGAGAUCUGGAGGAAUACCGGUGGCGAAGGCGGCCCCCUGGACAAAGACUGACGCUCAGGUGCGAAAGCGUGGGGAGCAAACAGGAUUAGAUACCCGAGUAGUC
rnacentral:rRNA from 1 species